CCUAGUGCUAGUGGAGUGUUAUGCUUGUUAUGCAUAGUGUAGUCUUUAUGUUGAUGAUAUUAAGGAAAUAUGGAACAGCUGCUAAACAAAAUGCAGAACUGGGGCAUAUCAAAACACUGUCCUCGUGUAUAUUUGCACCAUAUCGUGAUAUACUCCAGGAUUCAACAGGAACAACAAGAGGAGUUCAAUAAACCAGCAAAUGAGAAUAAUGGUCUCAAUAAUCUGUCUUUCGCUUGAAGGAGCAAUAUCUCUUGGGUUGGAAGAUUUCCUGGACCAUGGAA
rnacentral:misc_RNA from 1 species